rnacentral:rRNA from 1 species
UUAAAUAGCCGCAGUAUUUUGACUGUGCGAAGGUAGCAUAAUCAAUUGUCUUUUAAUUGAAGGCUUGUAUGAAAGGUUGGAUGAGGGGAUAACUUUCUUUAUAUUAAAAUAUUGAAUUUAAUUUUUAAGUUAAAAAGCUUAAAUUUUUAAAAGGGACGAGAAGACCCUAUAGAAUUUUAUAUUAUUUAUAAAUUAAUUAUUUUGGUUAGUUUUUAAAUAAUUUUAUAAAUAAUAUUUUGUUGGGGUGACAGUGAGAUUUAUUAAACUCUUAUAAUUUAUAUUAUUGUUGAUUAACAUAUUUAUGAUCCUGAUUGUUUGGAUAAUUAGAUUAAAUUACCUUAGGGAUAACAGCGUAAUUUUUUUGGAGAGUUCAUAUCGAUAAAAGAGUUUGCGACCUCGAUGUUGGAUUAAAAUUAAUUUUAAGUGCAGAAGCUUAAUUUUUUAGGUCUGUUCGACCUUUAAAUUUUUACAUGAUCUGAGUUCAAACCG